rnacentral:rRNA from 1 species
AUGAACGCUGGCGGCGUGCCUAAUACAUGCAAGUCGAGCGAACAGACGAGGAGCUUGCUCCUCUGACGUUAGCGGCGGACGGGUGAGUAACACGUGGAUAACCUACCUAUAAGACUGGGAUAACUUCGGGAAACCGGAGCUAAUACCGGAUAAUAUAUUGAACCGCAUGGUUCAAUAGUGAAAGACGGUUUUGCUGUCACUUAUAGAUGGAUCCGCGCCGCAUUAGCUAGUUGGUAAGGUAACGGCUUACCAAGGCAACGAUGCGUAGCCGACCUGAGAGGGUGAUCGGCCACACUGGAACUGAGACACGGUCCAGACUCCUACGGGAGGCAGCAGUAGGGAAUCUUCCGCAAUGGGCGAAAGCUUGACGGAGCAACGCCGCGUGAGUGAUGAAGGUCUUCGGAUCGUAAAACUCUGUUAUUAGGGAAGAACAAAUGUGUAAGUAACUAUGCACGUUUUGACGGUACCUAAUCAGAAAGCCACGGCUAACUACGUG